rnacentral:rRNA from 1 species
CGAAGGACCCGAGCGUUAUCCGGAUUUAUUGGGUUUAAAGGGUGCGUAGGCGGAUUGGUAAGUCAGUGGUGAAAGCCCAUCGCUCAACGGUGGAACUGCCAUUGAUACUGCUAGUCUUGAGUAUGGUUGAGGUUGGCGGAAUGUGUCAUGUAGCGGUGAAAUGCUUAGAUAUGACACAGAACACCAAUUGCGAAGGCAGCUCGCUAAACCAUAACUGACGCUGAGGCACGAAAGCGUGGGGAGCAAACAGGAUUAGAUACCCUGGUAGUCCACGCCCUAAACGAUGAUAACUCGUUGUUGGCGAUACACAGUCAGCGACUAAGCGAAAGCAUUAAGUUAUCCACCUGGGAAGUACGACCGCAAGGUUG